AGGGGUGUAGCUCAGCUGGUAGAGCAUCGGUCUCCAAAACCGAGGGUCGGGGGUUCGAGUCCCUCCGCCCCUG
rnacentral:tRNA from 1 species